AAAAAAAGCAAAGGAAGUUGGGGGAGAUCAGUGGGGAACACUGGAAUGAUCAGAAGUCUGUCAUGCUCCAUAUAAGGCAGCUUAUUUUUUAAUUAAAAGGAAAAAGUCAGUGUCUCACCAGCUGCUUUGGUCAUGAGCAAGUGAAAUUCUGCAGCCAAUCGUGCUCCCUCAGGACCAAGAGGGUGUUACAGGAAAAGCAAGAACUAAUUCUGGCCUCUUGGAGGAACAAGACCCUACUGCCAUGGAGCACCCCGAAGUGAAGCAAUUGAGAAAGUGUCCAUUAUCAAAACUGUGACCUUAAACAUCAGGGGGUGUUGGUGUGUCCUGGGUGCAGGAAAUGCAGCUCAUCCACGAGCUCCUCUCGGGAUUUUAAUUCCUAUUUUACACAGCACCGGGGGCUCUCACUGCAGCAUUCCUACAGACAGGCUACAUCCUGCACGGAAACUGGGGAAGGAGAAGGAUGCAGGUUCUUCUGGGGAAUCACAGCUGGAGUGUAAAAUGGCAGAAAAGCUCUGAGCACAGGGAGCUCCUGCAAUCCAGAGAAUUAUUCUAAAGCCCAGGGGCUCGAGGGAAGUUAGAGACCUUGCCUUGAGCCCAGGAAGAUUCCAGCUGGGAGCUGUGGCAAUACCUGAUCAUUGUGCUAAGCUCAGGAAGCAGCAGGAAUGGAGGAAAACAAGCCAGAUGUGAAAACUUUCCCUGUUUUUUUAAAUAACGAUUCCAUACGAAAGCGCCGCAGGCUCUGGCGCCGCUGGCACGACCCGCUGGUGAUCUGAGCCAGAAGUGAUGAAAGCACAACUCAUUGCAAGAGUCAACAGUUUCACUGCUCUUGUGCAAUGGAAAUUGGAGGAGAGUCAGGAUUUCGGGAGGCCAGUCUCAGGUAGCAUGGCUCAUUUCAUUCCAAACUUUGAAUACUGGGAUAAAGAUCUCAAAAUGGAUUUUGGAAUUAAAUGGAUUCUGAAAUUAGUGCUGGAGGUAGAUCAUAGAAUCACAGAAUCCCAGCAUGGUUUGGGUUGGA